rnacentral:rRNA from 1 species
CCUACGGGAGGCAGCAGUGGGGAAUAUUGCACAAUGGGGGAAACCCUGAUGCAGCGACGCCGCGUGAGUGAAGAAGUAUUUCGGUACGUAAAGCUCUAUCAGCAGGGAAGAAAAUGACGGUACCUGACUAAGAAGCCCCGGCUAACUACGUGCCAGCAGCCGCGGUAAUACGUAGGGGGCAAGCGUUAUCCGAAUUUACUGGGUGUAAAGGGAGCGUAGACGGCAGCGCAAGUCUGGAGUGAAAUCCCAUGGCUUAACCAUGGAACUGCUUUGGAAACUGUGCAGCUAGAGUGCAGGAGAGGUAAGUGGAAUUCCUAGUGUAGCGGUGAAAUGCGUAGAUAUUAGGAGGAACACCAGUGGCGAAGGCGGCUUACUGGACUGUAACUGACGUUGAGGCUCGAAAGCGUGGGGAGCAAACAGGAUUAGAUACCCCAGUAGUC